rnacentral:rRNA from 1 species
UGGGGAAUAUUGCACAAUGGGCGCAAGCCUGAUGCAGCCAUGCCGCGUGUAUGAAGAAGGCCUUCGGGUUGUAAAGUACUUUCAGCGAGGAGGAAGGCGUUGUGGUUAAUAACCGCAACGAUUGACGUUACUCGCAGAAGAAGCACCGGCUAACUCCGUGCCAGCAGCCGCGGUAAUACGGAGGGUGCAAGCGUUAAUCGGAAUUACUGGGCGUAAAGCGCACGCAGGCGGUCUGUCUAGUCGGAUGUGAAAUCCCCGGGCUCAACCUGGGAACUGCAUCCGAAACUGGCAGGCUAGAGUCUUGUAGAGGGGGGUAGAAUUCCAGGUGUAGCGGUGAAAUGCGUAGAGAUCUGGAGGAAUACCGGUGGCGAAGGCGGCCCCCUGGACAAAGACUGACGCUCAGGUGCGAAAGCGUGGGGAGCAAACA